CGNAGCCUGAUGCAGCAUGCCGCGUGAGUGAUGAAGGCCUUCGGGUUGUAAAGCCCUUUUGGCCGGGAAGAUAAUUUCGGGGCCUAUACCCGGGGGCGAGGACCGUUCCGGGCCAGCAACCCCGGGAUUACUACGGGGCCCAGCGUUCGGCGGAAUUUCUGGGCGUUAAGGGAGUCUAAAUUACUGGGCGAAUCGCGUGCGAAAGCCGUCCGCUCAAACCUAAAUCUAAUCCCCGGGCUUAACCUGGGAACUGCAUUUGUGACUGGCGGGCUANAGUAUGGCAAAGGGGGGUAGAAUUCCACGUGUAGCAGUGCAAUGCGUAAAAAUGUGGACGACUACCCAUGGUCACGCCCCCCCCUGGACCCUUACG
rnacentral:rRNA from 1 species